AGAACCAAGACCUAUUGCCAGCACUACAUUCAAAACCACACCACUGCAGAAGUCCUUAAAGAAUUUCCCUGUCUCAUGAGACCAAAUCUUCUCCUUGGAGAGAUGAAAAGAAUCCACCAGAUUGACGCUGAUAAAGCCAUCCUAGCCAAAAUGGGAGAAUUUGCGCCAAAGUUGUUAGAAAAGGCCCCUAAAGGUGCUUUAAAAGACACCUGCCUUCAGACACUGCAAUCAUGUGAGGAUGAGCAGGAAAGAAAAGG